rnacentral:lncRNA from 1 species
CUCCUAUACUGCAUUUAGCAUGUUAAUAACUUCUAAGUUGUUUCUUUUAACUAUCACUUUCCUAAAUUCAUAUUGUUUUGCAACUCUAACUUCAUGCAGGAUAGCUUCUAGCUCAACACUUACUAUAGACGCUUUACCAAGCCCAGUGGUAAAGCUGUACAACCACUUGCCCAUAGAAUCUUGAAAAAUGCUUCCUCCAUAAGCAAUGUUGUUCCUUUGG